rnacentral:SRP_RNA from 1 species
CGCGGACGAACCGCUCGCCAACUGGGUCAGGUCCGGAAGGAAGCAGCCCUAACGAGUUAGGAACGGGUCGUUGCCAGCCUCC